rnacentral:piRNA from 1 species
UCCCACUGUGAGUACCCGCCUUAGCCACUA